rnacentral:rRNA from 1 species
UACGUAGGGUGCGAGCGUUGUCCGGAAUUAUUGGGCGUAAAGAGCUCGUAGGCGGCCUGUUGCGUCCGCUGUGAAAGCCCGGGGCUUAACCCCGGGUCUGCAGUGGAUACGGGCAGGCUAGAGGUAGGUAGGGGAGAAUGGAAUUCCCGGUGUAGCGGUGAAAUGCGCAGAUAUCGGGAGGAACACCGGGUGGCGAAGGCGGUUCUCUGGGCCUUACCUGACGCUGAGGAGCGAAAGCGUGGGGAGCGGAACAGG